AAGAUUCUGGUUGACGGCGGGGCCGGUCUGAACUUGAUCUCACCCGUUGUGAUCAAAAGGCUGCAAAUUCCUGAUGGAGACCUCGAGGAAAAGGGCACGUUUCAAGGGGUCAACCCGGGAAGGAGCCAGCCGAAGGGGAAGGUCACAUUGCCUGUGACGUUUGGAGGCGAGUUGAACUACAUUACAGAGAGGAUUGUCUUCGAUGUAGCCGAGAUCCCCUUGCCCUACAAUGGGAUCCUCGGCCGCCCGACACUAGCCAAGUUCAUGGCGGUGUCGCACUACGCCUACAACACGCUGAAGAUGCCUGGGCCGAUGACCAUCAUCACCGUUCCCUGUGACAAGAAGGAUGCGUUGAUCUGCGCCGACCUACUCUACCGAGAAGCAGUUGCAGCAGCUGCCGCCAAGGCACUUGCUCCUGCCGCUGAAGCCUUGGGAGGGAAGAAGAAGACCGGCAAUACCUCUCGCGCCCACUCUGGCAAGCGCACCUCUUCGGAGUGUUGUGCUACCGUCGAGGACGUGCCAGGGAGCUCCACCGGCAAGAGCAAGAAAUCCAGAGCU
rnacentral:rRNA from 1 species